ACCAAGGUAAGGACAGUGUCCGAUGCCAUGAAUAACCCGAGCAAGCUGAACUCCAUUGCUUAGUUGAGAUUUUGAAAUUAGAUAGAGAAAUUUUGUCAAAACAUUUGGAUUUAGAUUGGGGUAUAUGCCUAACUCAGAAUCCUCAUGCCAUGUAUGUUGGUUGCCCAAAUUGAAAAUACCGUUAUACCAUACUCAAGUCUAAGUGUAAUAUAUUUGCAUUUUGGUUUAUGAUGGUUGUUUAAGUUAGAUCUUCUCAUGCCAUGUAUGGAAGAUGCUAGAAAUAGAACCAUCAUCAUUCCAAAGUGUAAUUAAUAGCAAAAUUCUGUGAUCUAAUUUUCAAACCCGAUGAUACUAUAACUUUAUGCUUGCUUGGGGAAUGAAUGGAUCGGCAUUGAAAUUGUCUUGCCCCAAGACGAUUUAUUUUUAGUGUUAAUUCACUAUUUUAAUUUUCCCUAUAUCACACCACACUACUUCACAAUUUACUUUCAUGCACUGUCUUUUCUUUUCUUUUAAUAAUUGACUUUCCUGUGGAUAUAACCUGGACUUACCAGUUUAAAUUCUGUACUACAUAAUCUCGUACGCUGGCGAGUGUGACCCCCUUGUGAGUAUAUCUUUAAGAUAGUUAAUUUUACGCAAGGGUAGGAGUCGAACAACACACUGAUAAUGUGCUAGAACAAUAUCGAAGGCAGCGACCGCCUACAUUUAAAGGAAGAUCUAGUGAUGACCCCAGCGUGACCGAGUACUGGUUGGAGUAAACAGAGAAUUUGCUUCGACAUUUACAAUAUAACGAUCAAGAUAAGGUGAAUUGUGCCACCUUUAUGAUGGAAGAAGAAGUCGAGAGAUGGUGGCAGAUGACGAAGAGAGCUCUGCAACUACCCCGCUCAACUCAAGGGUCGGAAUCCAACGAGGCUUCGAUAAUUGUAAUAACCUGGGAGGCAUUCAAAGAAGCUUUCGACACCAAGUAUUUCCUUAUAAGUUGGAGGCAGGAAAAAAAUUUGGAAUUCAUAAAUUUGAAACAGAUUGGGGAGAUGACAGUGACCUAGUACGACAUAAAAUUUACCCAGCUCAUCAAGUAUGUGCCGAUGAAUGGCAGAAAGCGUAAAAAUUCAUAUCCGGACUACGAGUAGAAUUGCAAUAGGCCUUAAGUACGUGGUCCAUUGACUCUUAUGAGGAAGCCCUGAACAAAGCUCUAACGAUAGAAAGAAAUCUCCUACGAGUGAGAAUGAUAAGAUUAGAAGAGAUGAAAAGGAGCACAGAACAUAAAUCUGGAGAUAAAAAUCCCCAGAGCAGCAAGCGAUGCCCCAAAUGCAAGAAAAAUCAUCCAAGGAGAAAAUGCUUGGCUGGAACGUUUAGCUAUUACUUGUGUAGAGAGAAAGGGCACAUACAGAGAAAUUGUCCCAAGGGAAAGGAAACGCCUCCAGUGAAAGGCCCGAUGAAGGGUGUGUGCUUCCAGUGUGAGCAGCUGGGCCCAAAGAGGAUGAAGAUUGGACAAGCAGAUAGGCCGAAUAAAAAAGUGGGACAGGUUCGUGGUACUCUUCAGGGACGUGUCUACAACCUGACAAAGAAAGAUGUGGGGUUAGAUCCCGCAGUCAUUCAAGGUACUCUCUUCAUAUUAAAAACCCCUCUGCAUACAUUGAUGGACCCUAGGUCAACACAUUCAUUUAUGUCACAUGCAUUGGCUGGGAGUUUGAGACUAGAAACCAAAACUAUGGAACUUUCGAUGAUAAUUGCGACACCAAUGGGAAAAAGUACGAAGUUCUCAGAAAUAAUAGAAGAAUGCGAAAUUAGACUAAGUAACAUUUGAUUUCGGGUUGAUAUAAUUUUGCUAGAAGUAUAUGACUUUGACAUAAUCUCAGGGAAUGAUUUUUUAUCCAAAAAUGAUGUCAAUAUAGAUUGUCGAAGAAAAAUAAUGAACAUAAGGAAACCCGAAGGAGGAUGGGUUAAAUUUCGAGGGCAAGAUGACCCCAAGGUUAGAAAAUGAUUUCGGCCAUGAAGGCAGUAAGAUUGAUGAGCCAGGGAGCUCAUGGAUAUGUAGCCUAUGCUCGGUUGGAAAAGGAAGAAUUACUGAAACUUAAUGAGAUGCGAGUAGUACAAGAAUAUGAUGACGUGUUCCUAGAAUAAUUACUGUGACUACAUCCACCUCGAAAAAUCGAGUUCUCGAUUGAACUAGUACCAAGGACCCAACCAAUAUCAAUUCCACCGUACCGGAUGGCUCUGACAGAGAUGAAGGAAUUGAAGAGUAAGUUGAAAAAACUGACUAAUAAAGGGUUCAUCAGGCCAAGUACGUCGCUAUGGGGUGUGCCACUACUAUUUGUGAAGAAAAAAGAUGGUAGUAUAAGGAUGUGCAUUGACUACCAUCAAUUAAACAAGGCCACAGUUGUAAAACCCCAUUUUUGAAAUAAAUAAUUCAGGAAAUGUUUCAUAAUUUGUGCAAUUAGAAUGAUUAAAUUCAAGGUUUUAUAGUAGAUUGUUAGCGAUAUUUAGCCAAAUCAAUGGAAAGGAGUAUCCCGAAGCUCGAAAGAUCAAAAGAAAAAUCACAUCAUUAUUUCUCGAUUCGAAAUAUGAUUUUUAGUACCGAAAGAAAUUGGUUUAGAGAUAGUUUUCGGUAUAGCUUCCGAUCAGACUGAUAAAAUUGAAUCAUCAGAGAGGGCUUCCGAAAAGAUGACGGAAUCCUUAGGGGCCUCGAUUUUUCAAGUAGAGCAACCAUUCAGUGUUUUCGGGUGGAAAUGAGAAGAGUUUCUAUAAAAUAAGUCAAUUGGGCUUAAGCGCAAUUUUUCAAAAUUGCCCGAGGAAGCUCUAAACGUCGUUAUUUUUAAAUCUUCAGGGCGUGAAUGUUGAUUUUAGGCCUUGGGGGUCUCAUUGGAAGCAAGGGAAAGUUAAGGGGCUUGAGAAAAAAAAAAGGGGGCAUAAUGUAAUAGUUAAAAUGAGAGGUGGCUAAAGUGCAAAUAUGAAAAUAUGAAGCUGGGAGCUUGCAUGGCCGACAACAGUUCUAGCUGGCCACCAUUCGUCACUUCCGAUUGCGAGAAGUCCUAGGAGGAUGGUCAAGCACGCGUAAGGGACAAGUCAAGGAUGGCAUCGAGCUCGUGUUCAGCCGGAAUUUCAAGAAAUUUUGAUCGAAGCAUGGACAAAUUUUGGGUGCCCUGUAAAUGGGGUUUUUGAGGGUUUGGUCGGUGUUUUUGGGUCUCCCAAGGGGAUAUUUAGGUGUUUGAGACGUCAGGUUAUGCGGCCAUAGUUGUUUCGAGGUUCGAUUUGGCCUAUAAAUAGAGGUUUAAUGGCCGAGGGUUUUUGCAAUUUUGAAGCUUGAAAUCGAGUGUGUUAGAGGCCAAAUCGAGAGAGAUUGAUAGAGGGCUUUUGCUCUAGUGAGAGUGAGGAUCAUCUCUAGAGAAAUUGGAGUGUUUUUGUGUGCAUUUGAAGAGGUUUCGAUCGGUUGCCGGAGAUGGAAGCAGUGGUGUCGACCGAGAGUUUGAGGCUUCGGUUGAGUCCUUUCCGAGUGUCCUUUUGAGCUUCCAAGCACGCCAAAGUGAACGAAUGAAGGAGAAGAAUAGCCAAGAAGCAAAAACCCAGAACUCCGGUGUGUUAUCGCCGAAGAAAAAGACUGGAACGUGGCCUUCACGCGCCCCAUCCCACUCGCAACCACGUGCCAAGCGCGUGCGCAUCAGUUUUUUUUUUUUUUUAAAUGUUUAGAAAAAUAUUUUAGGAUUUUUCAUGCAAAAAGAUUUGGGGAAAAUUGGAUGUAGAUAUUUAUUUUAGGAUUUUAGUGAGGAAAAAUAAGAAAAAAUUCAAGGAAAUGUGAGAAAAAUAUGAGAAAAAUUGGUUUUGGUAUUUAUGGAUUAAAUAUGGUAUUUAGGGUGCCUUAGGGCUUGAGUUUGGGUGUUAGUUCGAGUUUCGAGGAUUGUCAUGCUAAUCAAGGUGAAGCACGAAUUUCGAGGAAAACCAAAUUUGUUAAAGGUGCGUAGUUAUAUUCCAAAGACUUGAUUUUAUGUGAGUAUUCUAAUUGAAAACCCUAGUUAUGUGAGAGUUUUCCCUAAAGUUGAUUGUGAACGUUUUAUCCUAAAACCUGGUUUGGUAAAUGAUUUUAUCAUGUUAUCAUGCUUUGAAGUGAAUAUGCCAUGUAAUUUGCAUUUACAUGCUAUGAUGAGAUAUGCAUACAUCCACGAUGAUAUUGUUGAUCAUGCAUCGUAUAAGGGUUUGGGAUUAUGGACUGACAUCGCUGCUCUACCAAGGGUGCACCCAUACAUCUCGACCCGGGAAGAGGGCUGUAAAAAUGGAGAGCAGCAGUUGGGUGCAGUCGACUCAAACUUAAAACAAAUGAGGACAUGUUGCAUCUUAUAUUCAUACACAAAAGUAUAUGAUUUCUACUCACUUAGAUGAUUCAUCAUCUAACUUGGGUUUUGCCCCUGGAAUAUUCAAACGUUCCAGAUGUUGUCGUAACAGAACCAGAUACAGAAGAAGCAUGUGAUGGCACUUUACAAGUGCACGACGAAGUAUGAUUAUGAUUUUAAAGUUAAUGUAUUUAAGUUUCUUCUGCUUAACAUUUGAACAUUUGAAAGAUGUUGAUGUAUUAUCGAACUUAUGGUUAUUGUAAUGUUAGGUUCGAUUCUCAGCUUCCGCAUGUAACGUUUGAUGACUAUCUUCGAAAUGAAUGGAAAUUUUGGGUUGAUGACUAACGUGAUUUAGCAUUUAGUUUGAAAGGAAAAGAAAAAAAAAAUAUUAUCCCCAAAUUGUCCUAGUUUAUAACACGCCCGAGAAAGUGGGGUGUUACAACAGUCAAGAAUAAGUACAUGCUCUCGAGAAUUGAUGAGUUGUUUGAUCAACUGCAGGGAGCAAAGGUAUUCUCAAAAAUUAAUUUAAGAUCCGGAUACUACCAAUUAAUAAUCAAGUCGGAUGAUGUUCCAAAGGCGACAUUUCGAUCAAGGUAUGGCCAUUUCGAGUAUUUGAUAAUGUCGUUUGGGUUAACAAACUCUCCAACAACAUUUAUGGAUCUCAUGAAUAGGGUGUUCAGGCCCUACUUAGAUCAGUUCGUGAUCGUGUUUAUAGAUGACAUAUUGUUGUAUUCUUCAAAUGAGAGUGAGCACGAAGAACACUUAAGAAUAGUGCUAGAAACUCUCAAGAAACAUCAAUUGUAUGCCAAGUUCUUGAAAUGCGAGUUCUGGCUAUCCCAAGUCGCGUUCUUGGGUGAUUUGAUAUCGACUGAAGGAAUCUUAGUAGACCCAGCCAAGAUUGAGGCUGUUCAGGAAUGGAAGCAACCAACAUGCGUAACCGAGGUGCGAAACUUUUUGGGAUUGGCAGGCUAUUAUUGAAGAUUUGUAGAAAGAUUUUCAAAGAUAGCUGCACCUAUGACAAAACUCAUACGGAAAGAGAAGUUCGAAUGGACUGUCAAGUGCGAGGAAAGCUUUCAGGAGCUCAAAGAUAGGCUAACCUCAACACCUGUUUUGGCAAUGUCUAGUGGGUCAGGUGGAUAUGUUGUGUAUACAGAUGCCUUGAAGAUAGGCUUGGGUUGCAUAUUAAUGUAACAUGGUUGAGUGAUCGCGUAUGGGUCACGACAAUUGAAGUGGCACGAGGUAAGCUAUCCGACUCAUGAUCUGAAAUUGACAGUCGUAAUACAUGUUCUGAUGCUAUGGGGGCACUACCUGUAUGGUGAAACCUUUGAGGUGUUCACAAACCACAAGAGCCUGAAGUAUAUGUUAUCGCAAAAAGAGUUGAACCUCAGACAGCGACGGUAGAUGGAGUUUUUCAAGAACUAUGACAACACCAUUCAAUAUCACCCGGGGCGUGCCAAUGUGGUGGCUGACGCUUUGAGUAGGAAUGUGCCUAUUUCUAUGGCCGGGAUGAUGGCCCGUGAGUGGCAAAUGUUGGAAGCUUUUAACCAACUAACGGUAAGUGUAGUGCAGAAAGAAUCAUCCAUCCUUAUUGUUGGCAUGGUAGUUCAGCUAGAUUUGGUGAACGAAAUACAAGAGGCGUAUGUGGAUGAUAAGCGAAUUCCUUUAUGGGUAGAUGAGCAUGGCUAGCCCAAGAAACCCGAGUUUGAGAUGCAUGAUGGUAUACUCAGAUUUCGAGGAAGGAUAUACGUGCCAAACCAAAAAAGCUUGAGGUAAAGGAUUUUCAAUGAAACCACAAGACUCGAUAUAUAGUGCAUCUGGGAGCCAUGAAGAUGUAUAAGGAUCUUUGGGAAGUCUAUUGGUGGCUGGGGAUAAAGGCAAGUGUAGCAAGAAAGGUAGCUCAGUGCAACACAUACCAGAGAGUAAAGAUCGAGCAUCAGAAACUAGCAGGGCUAAUGAAACCUCUAGAUAUUCCGGAAUGAAAAUGGGAGCAUGUUAUGAUGAAUUUUGUGAUAGGAUUUCUUAAGAGUCAUAAAGGCAACGAUGCGAUUUGGGUCAUCGUAGAUAGGCUGACAAAGUCAGCGCACUUUCUGCCUACGAAUAUGGAUAAGUCAGUUCGAAAAUUUACAGAACGGUAUAUUGGAGAAAUAAUCAGACUUCAUGACACCCCAGUGAGCAUAGUCUUUGAUUGGAAUCCGAGGUUUACCUCAAGAUUUUGGGAAAGCCUACAGGAGUGCAUGGGAACACAAUUGAACCUUAGUACUGCUUAACACCCGCAAACCGAUGGAUAGUUUGAGAGAACCAUUAAACACUUGAGGACAUGUUAAGGUCAUGUGCCCUAGACUUCGAGGGUAAUUGGGAAGAACACCUGCCAUUGGUAGAAUUUGCUUACAAUAAUAGUUACCAAAGUAGCAUUGGAAUGGCGCCGUACGAGGCUCUAUACGGGAGGAAAUGUUGCUCACCUAUCUAUUGGAUUGAGGUAGGAGAAAGACAAAUAUUGAGGCUUGAGUUGGUGCAACAAACGAUAGAAAAGAUCGGGCAGAUUCAAGAAAGAAUCUGAAUCGCUCAAAGUUGACAAAAGUUUUAUGCAGACAAAAGAAGACGGGAUUUGGAAUUUGAGGUAGGAGAUCAUGUGUACCUAAAGGUAUUACCUCAGCAUUUAGGAAUUCGAGGAAAGAAGAAAGGAAAGUUAAGACCUCGAUUUAUAGGACCCUAUCUGGUAAUAGGGUGAGUUGGACCAAUGGCUUAUCGCUUAGAACUUCCUUCUGUUUGUCCAACAUCCAUGACGUUUUUCAUGUAUCCCAACUUCGAAAACAUAUUCUAGACCUGACUUAGGAAAUUCAGGUAGAAAUGAUUGAGCUAAGGGACAACUUGACUUAUCCAGAAUCGCCUGAAUGAAUCUUGAAUCGUUGCAACCAAAUCUUGAGGAAUAAAGUCAUUCCGUUAGUAAAGAUUUAGUGGAGAAAUCAUACCGAGGAAGAUGCUACAUGGGAGCUCAAGGAUACGAUUAGAAAAAAAUAUCCUCAAUUGUUCGAGGAAAUGGAAGUAGAAUAACAAAUCUUUGUGGUUUUCUAAGGAGUAUCAUUAAAAAUUUUGUGAAAUAAAGAGAUGAUUGUAAAUAGUAUGUUUAUUUUUGAAAUGAUAUAGACUAUUCUUGGUAUAUGUGACCGUUGGUAAAAGCUACAACGGGAAAUUCUAGGAAAAAUAAAGCACGCCUAGUAGGCAUUUCUCAUAUAACGGUACGGAUUUGGAUAAUUACUAAGAAUAUUAGUGAUAAAUGUAUGGCUGAGGUAUUAAGAUCAUUAUUGUUGCAAGAUGUUUGUCAAAUAUUGGUAAUUUGGCUGGGCAAAAGCAAAAAUUUUGAGGAUGAAAUUCCCUUAAGGGGGAGAGAAUGUAAUACCCAAAACUUAUGGGUUACGAUUAAAAUAAGAACAAGGAAGGAAAUACGAAGUUUUAAAUGAAUCGGCAUCAGAAUAACCCGAGAAAAUGACCGAAUCAGCCAGAGGGAAUACCCAGGAGCUUAGAUACCUAAGGAAAUAGGUAUGACCCUAACGAACACCUUGAAAUAUGAUUGAUGACAUUAAAAGAAAUCGGAUCAAAAAUAGUUUUUGGUACAGUUUCAAAUCAGAUUGCAAAAUCGAAUUGACGAGAAAAACUUUCGAAAAGACAACAAAGUCUUCAAAGAAGUUAAAUAUUAUAUAAGAAACAACCCUUAAGUGAUCUUCGAAUGGAACAUGGGGGUUUCACAAUCAAAGCGUAAUUCAUGGCCUAAGUGUAAUUUUUGAAAAUUCCCGAGAAAGGUCGAAACGACACUAUUUCUGAAACUUCAAGGGUCGAAUGAGAAGUUUAGAACGUGAAGGACUCAACCGAAGUUUUGGAAAACUCAAGGGCCUUGUGGAAAGGGUCAAAAUGCAUUUUUAAAAGUUGAGGGAUGAAAGUGCAAUUUCAGAAAAAAAAAAAACCUCCAACAGCGAUGGCUGGCCAACCCAUCCCAUCGCCGAAUUCAACUAUGGGUGUAACAUCCCAGUAUUUUGAGGAGAGAAUGAGUUCUUGAAUUAUUAUGAUUUAUUUAAUAUUUGUGAUUUAGAGAAAUCUAAUGGAAGAUAUUAAAUUUAUUAUAUUUUCGAAUAGGAAAGUGAUCGAAAAUUUGUGAACUUUUAGAACCUAAGUUAGUAUAUAAUGUUCAAGGUGAAUGAACUAUUAAUAUAUUUAUAUAUAAAAUAAAAUAAUAAAAUAAUUAAAUGAAGAAACCUGUAGCAAUUUGGAAGGAGGUGGUAGUGUGUAAUUGUAUGUAUAUGUGCAUAAUGGGGUAAUGUAUAAUAUCUCAAGUUAAUGUAUUUUAUUAACAUCAUAUAUUAUAUUAAGUUAGUAAAUAUAUUGUGUGUUAUAAGCAGGGAAUGCCAUCUCAAGCAUUAUAUAUAUAAAUGUAAUGGAGUGUGUGUGUGGAACGCAUGGCAGCGGCCUAAGCCUCCAUUUCAUUCUACUUUUUGAGGAGACUUCAUGUCCAAGGCUUUACUUUCUCCUGGGAAUUGUUAUUAGUGAGCUGGAAAGCAUUUGUAGUUCUUUUUCUCUCUCUCUCCCAUUUAAUUGCAGAAAACAUGCUGGGCGUGCGUCUCCCUCAGCGCCUCUGUUCCGUUUUCUUUUUUCUCUUCUCCUCUGCUUCUCAUCUCUACUAUCUUCCAAUCUUGUUCUACCAAUUUAGCAUGUAUAUAUAUAAUAAACCUAUUAUAUGUAAAAUGGUUACUGAGAGGAAGGAGAGGGCAACUGCGUGAGGUAGUCGUGUGAGCCAUUCUGUGCAUUCGUUUCUUUCUUUUUCCAGUAUAGGAGUAGCAGCAAGUUGGAGCUUUGGUUCCUCAAGUCUUCUUCUAAGUACAGUAAAGAAGCUAAGGCAAGUUCCUAACUCUUCCUUUAUGAGCUUGAAUCCUUUUACAAAUCCUUGCGGUUGUUCAUAUUUUAUUUUCUCCCUUGUUAUUCAGUUCCACGUAUUAAUUGUAUAACUACACGUUGCAACCAUUUUUAUUAUUGGUGCAAUAUUUCUUGUUAAUCGACACGAGGUUUUGUAUCGCCUCACUUCUUUGGGAAUGAUGUCGCACCUGAUGGGGUUAUGUUCCAAAUGGGUGUACGUGUGUACUGGUUGUGAAUCUUGGGUCUUGUGUGUGGGAUUAUUAUUUAUUUAUUUACAGAUGAUGUUGACAGUGUGUGUUGGGGGUUGGGUUGCAUUCAUUACGGAGACAUGCUUUGUGUGUAAUGGGGUGUAUUAGCAUUGGCAUAACCCGGUUGACCUAAGAGCCAAUUUGGGUACUUUAGGUGAAAAUAUGCAUUUAGAGCAUUUCGAAUGUGUGUAUUCCUAUGUGGGCGUAGCAUGGCUUGAUGCUUGAUUUAUGGGGUCUUAUCAUCACGUUUAUGCUGCAGAAGCCAUUGCAUAUCUUAUGUGUUGCAUUACAUAGUUCUAUGCGUGCGGUGAUUCUGAUUACUCGAGAUAUCUCUUUCGGAUUGGAGUACUGAUCAGAGGCUGUUAUCACGAACGAGAGGACCAUUUCGUUUCAGGCGGGAGUACUGACCUGAGGUUGGCGUUAUUACCACGGAUGGGAGGACCGUAUCAUUUCAGGCAGGAGUACCAACUUGAGGUUGACAUUACACACGGAGGUAUCAUUCUGUUUCAGGCGGGAGUACUGACCUGAGGUUAUAUUUGGCUCGUGGUCUCAUGCUUGCCAGUUCAUGGCAACGGCAGGUUUGUUGGGGACUUGGGUGCCGGUAUCUUCUAUGCAAAGGAAAAGCCAAGGUCACAGGCGAGGGUGGCAACGCGUAAGUUGUCUAGAUAGAGCGGUGUACAGGGCAAUCCCAGCCAUUCGAGUCAUGUGGCGUCUAGAGUCUCUGGGAGUGUCAGAAACUUAUUUUGUCUUUUCUUUUGUGAUGUACCAAUAUAGACUUUGUAUAUAUGGGCCAUGUAACCUCGAGGGUAGCGGUUGGCUAUGUAUCUAUGUAUGUGUUUUGCGGCUUCGCUUCCGUUA